rnacentral:rRNA from 1 species
CCUACGGGGUGCUGCAGUGGGGAAUAUUGGGCAAUGGACGCAAGUCUGACCCAGCAACGCCGCGUGAAGGAAGAAGGCUUUCGGGUUGUAAACUUCUUUUAAGGGGGAAGAGCAGAAGACGGUACCCCUUGAAUAAGCCACGGCUAACUACGUGCCAGCAGCCGCGGUAAUACGUAGGUGGCAAGCGUUGUCCGGAUUUACUGGGUGUAAAGGGCGUGUAGCCGGGUUGACAAGUCAGAUGUGAAAUCCUGCGGCUUAACCGCAGAACUGCAUUUGAAACUGUUGAUCUUGAGUACUGGAGAGGCAGACGGAAUUCCUAGUGUAGCGGUGAAAUGCGUAGAUAUUAGGAGGAACACCAGUGGCGAAGGCGAUCUGCUGGACAGCAACUGACGGUGAGGCGCGAAAGCGUGGGGAGCAAACAGGAUUAGAUACCCUUGUAGUC